rnacentral:rRNA from 1 species
UACGGAGGGUGCAAGCGUUAUCGGAUUCACUGGGUUUAAAGGGUGCGGUGGCGGACAGGUAAGUCAGUGGUGAAAUCUCUGGGCUUAACCCAGAAACUGCCGUUGAUACUAUUUGUCUUGAAUAUCCUGGAGGUAGGCGGAAUAUGUCAUGUAGCGGUGAAAUGCUUAGAUAUGACAUAGAACACCGAUAGCGAAGGCAGCUUACUACAGGAUGAUUGACGCUGAGGCACGAAAGCGUGGGGAGCAAACAGG